rnacentral:lncRNA from 1 species
AUAAAAUAUUACACUAUUUUUUUGGAUUUGUGAUAUAUAUGAUAUUGGUCAUGCUAUUCAAGUUUGGAAGUUGUGGGUUUCUUUAAAUCAUUAUAGAUGCAGGUUUGCUUUCACACAUAAUUUUGUGUUAUUUUUCUUAAAGGGGCAAUGCAAAUUGUACAACUUUCAACUCCAAAAUAUCUGGACCACUUUCCAGCCAGGCUUAUUCCCUCCCUGCCAAGCAGCUGCCUCCUACAGCAACAGAUUCAUUGCUCAAGAGCUUUACGUGCAACUAACUCUGAAUUGGAAGUAAACACAUUCUUCUGGCUAGCCAGUCCUCAAUCGUUCCAUUCCAGCAGUGUUUUAUCAGUCCAACAGAAGAUGAACACAUGGAAAGUAUUUCAUGCAUAAUUUUGAAUGGAUGGAUUUAAAGGCGAAAAGGACACUGAUACCAUUGCUAUAUUAUCUAUAAAGAAGCUGAAGUUCAAAUCUGCACUUGCCCAAGGUCACAUGACCUGAAAUGCAAAGCCUGGUCUCAUUUGUAUCCUCCUGAAUACCAAUCCUAUGUGAUCUUCAUUAUCCAAACAUGACUAUGCUACAGGAGCCAUGAUGUGGAAUAUGCAACAUCGUGUUUAACUUUCACAACACCCUAUAGAAUAAAUGUUAUUUCCAAUUUCAGAAUGAAGAAGCUGCCCCAGACAGGUGAGGUCAUUUUGCCUAGCAGAGCCUCAUAUGAAUAACCUUUCUAUUAUUUUGGUGUUUCUCAAACACUCUGGGGAUCUGAGUCUUUUCUUAGAAGUGUGAGCAUUCUCUUCAAAAACUUAUAAAUUUUGUACAUUUAUUUUAAAGAUAAUACUUAGAAAUCAAUGGAAGCUUCUUUUGGAUACUCAAACAACAUAGUAAAGUUUCAGUGUAAGCAUUUGUGUUCCUGCUUAUACACAUUAUAGUGUUUAUUCAACCUUUAACAAAUGCAUUGGCAAACAUGUCUGGCUCCAUCAGUUUGGCAUGCCCUCAGUCAAAAUGAUAGCUUUCCCAUAUUUGUACUCAGAGUUAAUUUUUUGCUAUUUACACAAUCAUACUUUUCUUUUGCAAUAAUAAUUCAUAACUGGAACAUUAUUAGAAUACUAGGGUAUUUAAUCUUUUGAGACAACGACAACUCUAGAAUCCUGCAUAGGAAAGAUGGCUUUAUUGGGUAGUUAUGAGAGCACUAAGAAUUUUCUUGAAGCUUCAUUGACAAGCAAGUGCAGUUUUAACUUAAUGUUAAUUUUGGGUGGGUGGGACAAGCAGAGGUUAUGGUGACACUAAAGUCCUCCAAAGCACCUUUGGUAACACAGGUUAAAUAGAGAAUUGAUUGAUGUCAUGAAAAUGCCACCAUAAUGCAGGGAAGUAAUUUUAUUAGGCAGAUUAAUGAUGAUAAAAUAGGUAGACUUAGUACCUUUUAUAGUCACAACAAAUAAUGGAGGACUGAUAUCAGAGUACAGUACAAGAGAAGUCUCAUCGUAGUUCAGAGGAAAGUCCUCCUAAUGGCAACAGUUAGCAAAAUGAGUUGGACUCAGAUUGUCCAAUUGCUCAAUACACAGAGGUCUCCGCAGCCAGAAAAACACAGGCAAUUGAGAGCAAUGUUUUUUAAAAAUCUAUAAAAUUAUAAACUUUAUUGAAGCUUGUUUGCUUCACUCUGUCAGUGACCAAAAAUAGUUUUUUUAUUAUAAUUUGGAAUGUAUUGUGCAUUUCAGUGGAUAUCUGCUGUUCUUGUCCAACCAUUUAUUUCAUCUCCUGGCGGAAGUAUCUGGGGUUUUGUUUUGGUUUGGUUUGGUUUGGUUUUGGCAAAGCCUUGCAAAAUCACUAAGCUGCCUGGCCUGGGCUUGAAUUUUCUAUCCUCCUGCUUCAGCCUCCCAGAGUGCUGGAAUUAUGGACAUGCGUCACCACACCUGGUUUAGUGUCCUGAUUUUUUUCAUUUGAAUAUCCACCCCUCCUCCAUGUUGUCCAUGUGGCUAGUGGCUACCUACUGGGUGGAGCAGGACAGAACAUUUCCAUCAUUGGAGAAAGCUCUGUUGGCUACCACUGAUUUAGAUCCCUGCUGUGACCAUAUAAAAUAAUAUUUAGUAAGGUACUGUAUAAACUUCAAAGCACUUCUAAAAAAUCCUAUUAUCCUAAUUAUCAUUAUGAUCAGUCAAAUUCAUUAUCAGUCACAGGAAGGCAGGGGUUUUCUACAAAUUAAUUGAGUCCUUUAUGAGCCGUGGCAAUCUUCCAGAUAAUUUAUUUAAGAUUUUAAUAAAAUGAUCAUUAAUCAAUUGUUAGUCAUCACAUAAUUUCUUGCUUGACUUCCUUGAUAUUGAACCCUCUCUGACUAUUCAACUUAAGUACAGGAAACUCUAAAGAUCCUUCACCUGAGCACAGGAGUGCGACCAGAGCUUUGUCCUUUGGAGAUAAAUUAGUGUUGAAUUUGGACAGCCAAAGGAUUAGGACCAGUAUGUGAUUUUUCAACUGGGUACUGAACCCAGGGCCUUCACGAUAUGCUAUAUCCAUAACCCUUUUUAUUUUUUAUUUAGAGACAAGGUCUUGCUAAG